UGAGAAAGUCACUUAACCCCAUUUUCCUCAGUUUCCUCAUCUAUAAAAUAGCUGAAGAAGGAAAUGGCAAACCAAUAUCUCUGCCAAGAAAACCUCAAAUGGGGUCACAAAGAGUCAGAUAUGACUGUAACAAUGGAACAAUAACAACAAACUAUGUGCCAAUCACUGUUCUGGGUAGAAAAAUGAAGACUAAAGCAAAAGCAUCUGUGGAUUCAAGGCACCUACAUACACCAUUGGGGGUUGGAGGUGGGGAGCAUAACAAUAUGUACACCAGGAAAUACAAAACAUCUACAAAGUAAAAAUAAAGUCAUUUCAAGGGAGGGAGUUGGGACAGAGUUCAAUAGAAACUGAGAACAAUCUUUUCCUGAGAAGGCUCUGUGGCUGUGGGUCAUGGAACACGAUGACCUCAAAAGAAUUACAAUGGACAUUAAAGAGACAAGAGAUAUCAUUUCAAUCUCAAAUGUUCCAAGAAACUUUAAAGAUAUUUGAGUGAGACCUUGGAAGAAGGAUUGGAUUUGAAUAGCCAGAGAGGAAGAAACACUAUAGGUGGAUGAAAUAUCACAGACAGAUGGACGCUGGGAAAACAAGCCCAGGGAAAUGGGGAGUAAGACCAAUUUGGUCGGAGCAGAGUUUUUAUAAGGGAGUCAAGUCAUGAGACAGGGAAUAGAGAUAAUCCAUUCCAAUCCCCUUUUUCUACAUAGGAGGAAACUGAGAUCCAAGGAAAAGACUUGCUCAGCAGCGCAUGUGAAGACUGCUUCUGCAGAACAGGCAGAAGAAACCAAUAAGAAGGUUCAACGGCUGAGAUGGCGACACAGCAAAGCACUGUGGAGUGCUCAGGGCGUGUUGGAGCACAAAAGACAUCACGGCCAUCCCAUGCAGCUGAGGAAGUCUCCAGGUGUAACGACUUUUCGUGCCAAUGGUCCCAGGCUUCCAACGCCGAGAGAGUGGGACUGUCUCUGUGCAUCAACUUUUCCACUUAAAUCUCCUUCAUGCACAAGUGUCUUUGUGCACACUCAUCUAUACACCAUAGAUGAAAAUGCACAAAGACAAUCGUCAUCCUCGGUUACCGAGAGACAACUACCACCACCAGCACUGGUUAAACAUCAACUGCAAUACCUGUCAUUUCAACAUUAGUCAAGCAUGAAUUAUGGAUUGAUCAGUUACCCAUUCUGUAACAUCAAUUACCUGUACUGGAUCUGUAAUGUUCUGUACUGGUUGUCAGUUUUGUGAUGUUCUGUUUUAUUAAAUAAUCAUAUUGUUCCACAUUUACUUUAGUUCUGAACUGCUAGGCAUUAUUAAUGACCUAGAGUGGUCCUCCAAUGUACCGCAUCCCCCUUCUUGCUUCCAUCAUUGAAGAAAACAUUCUAGAAGAGCAACAAGGCUUCUCAGACCACACUGACAAAUGGUGACAAGGUGGACAAUGAGGGAAACAUGGGACAUGGGCACUAAGGGCUCUGGCAUUCCAAAAGGAUCUCCAAACUUGCAGAUGCUCCUUAUUCCUUGUGAUGAAUGUGUCAAACCUCAAAUCACACCUCCACCUGAAUUUGGCCAUACCCAUUUUCCUGGGUUUUGGUGAAAGGUAGAGAUUUCCCUGGACUUGAUGAUGACUAGGCCCAAGACCCUAGAAGAUAUGCAAACUCUGAUCUAUACUUAGGGUUGCUACUCAACACCUGGGGCUGCUACUCAAUUAGCUAUUAGGCUAUUCCAUCAGCCUCAAGGAUACUCCAUCACCCCAAGAGCAGCUACUCCACAUCAGUUCCAAGGCUGUUAUUCUAUCAACCCAGGGCUAUGGAGCUUCCACUCCAUCACCCAUUAAGCUACUCUAUUAACUCCCAGGCUAACCUAUUAUCCCCAAGACUAUUCCACCAACCCCAGGGCUAUCUGGUUAGCCCUUAAGUUAUUCCACCAGCUGUUAGGCUCUAUAGCACCUUAAACCUCUUCUUCAAAUAAAAUUCUUUUCUUACUUCUGGAU
rnacentral:lncRNA from 1 species